UACGUAGGGUGCGAGCGUUAAUCGGAAUUACUGGGCGUAAAGCGUGCGCAGGCGGUUGUGCAAGCCAGAUGUGAAAUCCCCGGGCUUAACCUGGGAACUGCAUUUGUGACUGCACGGCUAGAGUGUGUCAGAGGGGGGUAGAAUUCCACGUGUAGCAGUGAAAUGCGUAGAUAUGUGGAGGAAUACCGAUGGCGAAGGCAGCCCCCUGGGAUAACACUGACGCUCAUGCACGAAAGCGUGGGGAGCAAACAGG
rnacentral:rRNA from 1 species